rnacentral:lncRNA from 1 species
AUGUCCUAUCGGUCAACUGUCAAAAAGACAAUUAGUUGUAUUCCGAUUUAGAGGUGCAGUGCACAAGUCUAGCUCGGGCGGUUUUGACAAAAUUUUGGGCCCAACCACUAAUUAAGGUUUCGGAGACGAAAAUCCAAACCGGCCAGAUUGGUUGGGUCGGUCGCACCAACAAUUUUAGCGAUUUGACAAUUCAGCUUUGGUGGUUUAAACUGAUUUUACAAAAGCGUCGGUUUGUAUCAAGUAUUUUUGAAAUGAUACACAUGGUUCAUGAAUAUAAUACAUAUGCAUAUUCGGAAUUCCUAAAAUGAAACAAAUAAUUGAACAGUAAACGUUAAAUGGCCGGUUCGGUGCCGGUUUCAAGUUCCAACCGAACUUUAUACAUAAUGGCCAAACUGGCUGACUUGUAGUAAGAAUCGCUAGGCGCUAGUCGGCAGGUAGGGUACCGACUAGCGAUUAAUCAGAAUUAAUAGGGAUUAAUUGGAUUGGAUUUUAUAUGUAAUUUUCAGUUUUAUAUGUACACACACACAUUUUUAUGUAUUUUAUUUUAAUUAGACAUGUUUUAACACCUUCUUCGACCCAUAUUUUCAAGUAGAUAAGAUUAAUUGCCAGAAUUUACAGAUUUUGAUCAAGAAUCUGGCCAGAAUCACUAGACUACCACCGAUUUUUGGACAACCAGGACUAGAUUUGACCACUGUUGACCGCCUACUAAUUAAUUGGCCGGUUAGAUAAAAAUUACUCGGUGAACCUCCGACCAGUGAUUAAUCAGUGGCUAGUCGGGAUUUUUACAACCAUGCCCAUAAUAUUGAUUUUAAAGCUGCAAAGAGAACGGAUUACUUACACUAGCACUUGAUUUUAGAGGAGACCUAGUAUCUUUACUUUCUACGUUUAAGUUUUGAUGCGAACCGGUAUCGGAGAGCUCGGAUGAGGGUGAACCAGUUAACUCAAGCAGUAUGUCCAAAGCCUGAAGACAAAUUGACAAGAAUAAAUAAAACGUUAAAUAAAGGCAAAUUGGAUUAUAAUAAUCCAAAGUCCAAACUAUGCACUAAUGACCGACAAUAAUCCAUACUAACAAUCUAACCAGUGACGCUCUUAACUUUCAUUUCCGUUGCCAAAAGCAAUCUCACUCACAUAAUCAUCAAAGAUUUACACUCGUUUAUACUUGAUUUCCACUCGAUUUCUCUCACAAAAAUCUACGUUCUCCCGUUCCGCUCAUAAUCAUCCAUAUGGGCAAAAUCGGGUGUAAAUAUAUGAUGAUAAUGCGAGUGAGAUCGUUGUUAGCAACGAAAGUGAAAGUUGGGAGUCUCUUUGGCCAUGUUUAGAGUACGAAUUAUCAUCAACCAACGAGCAUAGUUGAUAAUAGCGAAUAGCAAACCAUAGCGACAGGUUACCUAUACGCUACGUAGCGAUGGUGAUGAAAUAGCAAGCGCAAUUUUUAAUUCAGCGAUACACUAGAAAAAAAAGAUUAAAAAUAUUUUAUAUGUAUAUUUUAUUAAAAUACGCUGUUUUUAUAUGUAUAUUUAUUUAUAAAAAUAAAAACUUGGAUCCCGCUAUUUUAUAGGUAUAUUAAAUCGGUAAUUUGAUUAAAACAAAAAAAAAAACCUAAAAACCCGUUGUUUUCACCCUAUGGAGGCGCCAAAAUCAGAUUGCGACCUAUCACCGCAUCGCCACACUAAACGCUAUAGCGAGCGCUAUGAUCACUAUUAACAACGGUACCAACAAGUGAAAGUAUGGAUUACUAAAAACCAAUUUGCCUUGUAUAAACAACACAAAGUUAAAAAUCGUCACUACAAGUCUACAACUUCUAUCACUAGCAGCAUGUGCGCGCACGCUAGUACGCUACAACGUCCAACUAAAACGUCACAUUAUUGAUUACCGUUUCAAGUUUAAACUUACACUCUUUCACAAGUUAGGCAAAAUUGACACCAAAACACACAAAAAAAGUAUCAAUCAAUAAAUCAAUAUAAAAACAAUCUAAAGAACAAACAAACAACCCUUUACCUUUUCAACAUCAUAAGCAGUUUGACCUACCAAAAACAACACACAAGUC